ensembl:lncRNA
GCAGCCUUUUUGGCUUAAUGGCUUUGCUUCCUUGCACUGAAUAUGAAACUCACUUUGGGAGCCUUCUGAAAUUUACAAAACUAAAAUGAAAAAGUAUGGGGUUGGCAGAAGCUGGAGCUAAUAGCAGGCGCUCACUCUGCUCCCGGGAUUUGAACCUGUGACCUUUCAGUCUUACACAAUCAGUGGCAUACCAGUAUUGAAGAAUACACUUUCCUUUGGAAAUGGAAUCAGAUUCAGAAACCAAAUCCUUGAUCAUUCACAUUGACAACAAGGCAUACGAAGAUGUUAAAGUGACUGCUAGUGCCAGACCUUUCUUCAAGUUGCUGGAUGGCAACGUGAUUUUCUUCUGGUACAAAUGGCUAGCAUCAAUCAUCUCCACAAAAGUUCGCGCUAAAAAGAGAAAAAAUGUAAAUGAAGUUACCAAUAUGAAUUUCAUCACCUACCUAUUUGGAAAAUGUGGACUGAAGCUUUACAACAUCACUGUAGUCAGACCAUCAGAUGGAUAUAUUGCUGAAUGUUCAACUCCAUUGUGCUGUACUUGGGUAAUUGAAGAGAAGGGAAUAUAUCAAGAAGAAAAUCCUACAAACCACUGCAAAUUCAAGUCAAUGUCUAAUAGUCUGAUAGGAAAGAGAAUUAAUUGUGAUUCCAUUGUAUAA